rnacentral:rRNA from 1 species
UACGUAGGGUGCGAGCGUUGUCCGGAAUUAUUGGGCGUAAAGGGCUCGUAGGCGGUUUGUCGCGUCGGGUGUGAAAACCUCGGGCUUAACUCGGGGCUUGCUUUCGAUACGGGCAGACUGGAGGUAUGCAGGGGAGAACGGAAUUCCUGGUGUAGCGGUGAAAUGCGCAGAUAUCAGGAGGAACACCAGCGGCGAAGGCGCUGCUCUGGGCCGGUACUGACGCUGAGGAGCGAAAGCGUGGGGAGCGAACAGG